rnacentral:rRNA from 1 species
AGUGGCGAACGGGUGAGUAACACGUGACCAACCUGCCCCUUGCUCCGGGACAACCUUGGGAAACCGAGGCUAAUACCGGAUACUCCUCGCCCCCCUCCUGGGGGGCCCGGGAAAGCCCAGACGGCAAGGGAUGGGGUCGCGGCCCAUUAGGUAGUAGGCGGGGUAACGGCCCACCUAGCCCGCGAUGGGUAGCCGGGUUGAGAGACCGACCGGCCACAUUGGGACUGAGAUACGGCCCAGACUCCUACGGGAGGCAGCAGUGGGGAAUUUUGCGCAAUGGGGGCAACCCUGACGCAGCAACGCCGCGUGCGGGACGACGGCCUUCGGGUUGUAAACCGCUUUCAGCAGGGAAGAAAUUCGACGGUACCUGCAGAAGAAGCUCCGGCUAACUACGUGCCAGCAGCCGCGGUAAUACGUAGGGAGCGAGCGUUAUCCGGAUUCAUUGGGCGUAAAGAGCGCGUAGGCGGCCUCUCAAGCGGGAUCUCUAAUCCGAGGGCUCAACCCCCGGCCGGAUCCCGAACUGGGAGGCUCGAGUUCGGUAGAGGCAGGCGGAAUUCCCGGUGUAGCGGUGGAAUGCGCAGAUAUCGGGAAGAACACCGAUGGCGAAGGCAGCCUGCUGGGCCGCAACUGACGCUGAGGCGCGAAAGCUAGGGGAGCGAACAGGAUUAGAUACCCUGGUAGUCCUAGCCGUAAACGAUG